GGAUGAAGAGGGAAGGACAGACCUGGGGAAGCUGCUUCAGCUGCGGGCACAGAAGGCAGCACUCAGGACAGUCCCCACCAUGGCCUGGGCCCCUCUGCUCCUCACCCUCCUGGCUCACUGCACAGGGUCCUGGGCCCAGUCUGCGCUGACUCAGCCGCCCUCGGUGUCUGGAGCCCCGGGGCAGACGGUCACCAUCUCCUGCACGGGCAGCAGCAGCAACAUCGGGGAUGGGUAUGAUGUGAACUGGUACCAGCAGCUCCCAGGAACGGCCCCCAAACUCCUCAUCUACUAUGAUAGCAACAGACCCUCAGGGGUCCCUGCCCGAUUCUCUGGCUCCAAGUCUGACAGCUCGGCCUCCCUGACCAUCACGGGGCUCCAGGCUGAGGACGAGGCUGACUAUUACUGCCAGUCCUAUGACAGCAGCCUGGGUGCUCCACAGUGCUCCAGGCCCCCGGGGAAGUGAGACAAGAACCCCCUU